ACAGCUCACACGGCACCCUAAAGAAAAGAUGGGGCCUUCAACGGGAAGACGGACCCGGGCAACGCUACUGUCGUCCUGAGAAAGCGCAGUAAUAGCCGGCCUGAGUCACGAAGAACAGACACGGAUCAGCGAAGCUGGAGGCGUGAGAGGUCAGGAUGACUACCCCACGAUAGGAGGAGGAGAUCGGAACUCAGGAGUUCGAGUCUGACACUGGGGGUUGUGCUGCCAGGGAGAGAGGAAAGGUUCCGCACACACACCAGGGAGCCUGCCGGGAUGCAGCUUUGGGGCCUGCCGGAAACCUGUCGGGGGGAGCAGGACGGGCCAGGAGAACGGCAGGCGUGUGGACGUUUCAGUGGGACAACGACCAUGAAGCCACGGGCGGCUGGUGAGGAAACAUCUAUAUCUCGAGGAAAAGACUCCACGUGGCAGCCGUGAGUUGGCCACAGGCCUCCUGGUGCGGAGCUGACCGCCGUGUGCGGGCAGUGGGCGGGGGAGGGGACAGCUCAGGGGACGGCACUGUGACUCACGAUGGCUUCCCUCCAGGCUGUGCAGGACUUCCCUUCCAAGAAACGCGUUUGCAGUCCCAAGCCCAGGGGAGCCCCUGGGCGUCAGGCAGUAAGCGCUGGCGGGAGGGGGGGUGGAUGCACCUCAUCUCCCGCCGUCUUGUGUGGCCAUCGUGCUGGCUUUCUCUUGGAUAAAAGGCAACACAGUCUGCUGGUGAGUUAAUGGAGCUGGAACACCGAGUCUCACUCUUGUCACUGGGAUUGGCCCUCGCUUGUCUGGGCCGGUCUCCGGUGCCUCUGUUUCUCCAGUUCCGGGCGUGAGUAGCGAGGCCAAUCUGUGAAAUAGGACUGCCCUGGACCAGACGCAAUGUCGGCAUCGGCCCUGCUCCGUGCCGCUGGCGAGGAGGGAGCCGAGGAAGGCGCCUCUGUCUCCCAGGUCAGAAGAGGCGUGAGGGGGCGCAGGGAGCCGGCCGGGCCGGGGCCCCGCCUCGCUCCAGGUCUGCGCGGGGCUGUGACGCUCUGGCCGGCCCCUCGCUCUUUCUGGUUAUGUUUCUCUGUCUUUCAAAGGGCAGUUCAGGGUUGGAAAGUACGGCCUCCAAGCCAAGCCGUCCCUUGCCCGUUCUGUCGGUGAAGGUGUGCUGGACACAGCCACACCUUCUGUUUCCGUGUCACCUACGGCUACUUCCGAGCUACAGCCUUGGAGUUGAGUGACCGUGACAGAGACGUUGUGAGCAGGGACACCUCACACGUCUGCCGCCUGCUCCUUUUCAGAUGUUUGCCGCCUCCUGGGUGGGGGCAAAGCCUCCCACAGUCGCCCCUGCAGAACCAGCUCUGCAGAUGCUAUUGGGUGUCACAAGAGAAGACAGGUGAUGGCAGCAUGGCCGGGCGGGGGUGGCAGCCAGUGGGCAGGGCUCCCGCGCCUCCUGCCGCCGAGUGCAGUUCGGCAAGGCUCGCCUGCCCUGCUGCGGGCGGCGGUUUGAUUGACAGGCGAGGAGACACGCUCCAGGGGAGAGGCGGAUUUCUGCGGAGCGCGGUGAUGAUGCCGGCGCGGGCGUGAGUGCGGCUGCUCCGGCCCCUGCACUGGGAGCCGCGUCCCCUCCCACACACCCGCCUGCGGACACCGCCUGCUACCGCAGCCACGGGCCACCCUGCGUGGCCCGAGAACCCUGUGGGUCUGUGAUUUGGGAAUCACCAGCAAAGCAUCUGCUGUUCCCCUCACGUCUGGGAGAACAGCCUGGGUCUCUCGCGCCACCCGGACAAGCCCGGAGAGAACGCAACAGCGAGGACGACCAGGCGCACUCGCCGCCACGUUCUUGGUCCUCUUUUCUACCCCGCAUUUCUGCCUGUUCCUCCCUUCGCCCUCUUCUUUCUCUCCCUCCGUCCCCUCCUCUCCUCUUCCCCUGCCCCCACGCCCCGCUCUUCCCUCCUGGGUCCUGCUGUUCUUGAGCUGCAUCUAUAGGCAGAGUCGGGGGGAGAAGCGAGCCCUGUGGCUCUGGAGGCAGGGACCCCCACCUCCCCGUGGGGGCAGACGGCCCGGCCGCCCAGGCCCCUCCCGGCGG